rnacentral:rRNA from 1 species
CCUACGGGGGGCAGCAGUGGGGAAUAUUGGGCAAUGGGCGCAAGCCUGACCCAGCGACGCCGCGUGAGGGAAGACGGUCUUCGGAUUGUAAACCUCUUUCAGCAGGGAAGACAAAAGGACGGUACCUGCAGAAGAAGCCACGGCUAACUACGUGCCAGCAGCCGCGGUAAUACGUAGGUGGCAAGCGUUGUCCGGAUUUACUGGGUGUAAAGGGCGUGCAGCCGGGAAGACAAGUCAGAUGUGAAAUCCCGCGGCUCAACCGCGGAACUGCAUUUGAAACUGUUUUUCUUGAGUACCGGAGAGGUCAUCGGAAUUCCUUGUGUAGCGGUGAAAUGCGUAGAUAUAAGGAAGAACACCAGUGGCGAAGGCGGAUGACUGGACGGCAACUGACGGUGAGGCGCGAAAGCGUGGGGAGCAAACAGGAUUAGAUACCCCAGUAGUC